rnacentral:rRNA from 1 species
UACGGAAGGGGGCUAGCGUUGUUCGGAAUUACUAGGGCGUAAAGCGUGCGCAGGCGGCUUCUCGAAGUCAGGGGCUGAAAGCCCAGAGCUCAACUUCUGGAAUUGCCUUUGAGACGUGAGUGGGCUUGAGUACGAGAGAGGUGAGUGGAAUUCCCAGUGUAGAGGUGAAAGUUCGAUAGAUGAUUGGGAAGGAACACCGGUGGCGAAGGCGGCUCACAUGGCUCGGUAACUGACGCUCAUGCACGACAGCCGUGGGGAUCAAACAGG